rnacentral:rRNA from 1 species
UGCAGAGAUGCGGGAGUGCCCUCGGGAACUCUGAGACAGGUGCUGCAUGGCUGUCGUCAGCUCGUGUUGUGAAAUGUUGGGUUAAGUCCCGCAACGAGCGCAACCCUUAUCCUUUGUUGCCAGCGGUUCGGCCGGGAACUCAAAGGAGACUGCCGGUGAUAAACCGGAGGAAGGUGGGGAUGACGUCAAGUCAUCAUGGCCCUUACGACCAGGGCUACACACGUGCUACAAUGGCGCAUACAAAGAGAAGCGACC